GCACAAGCGGUGGAGCAUUGUGGUUUAAUUCGAAGCAACGCGAAGAACCUUACCAGGUCUUGACAUCCCGAUGCUAUUUCUAGAGAUAGAAAGUUACUUCGGUACAUCGGUGACAGGUGGUGCAUGGUUGUCGUCAGCUCGUGUCGUGAGAUGUUGGGUUAAGUCCCGCAACGAGCGCAACCCCUACGUUUAGUUGCUAACGCGUGAAGGCGAGCACUCUAGACGAACUGCCGUUGACAAAACGGAGGAAGGUGGGAUGACGUCAAAUCAUCAUGCCCCUUAUGUUCUGGGCUACACACGUGCUACAAUGGCCGGUACAGACGGACGCAAAGCCGCGAGGUGGAGCAAAUCCUAAAAAGCCGGUCUCAGUUCGGAUUGCAGGCUGCAAUUCGCCUGCAUGAAGUCGGAAUCGCUAGUAAUCGCAGGUCAGCAUACUGCGGUGAAUACGUUCCCGGGCCUU
rnacentral:rRNA from 1 species